AAUAUUGCACAAUGGGCGAAAGCCUGAUGCAGCAACGCCGCGUGAGUGAUGAAGGCUUUCGGGUCGUAAAGCUCUUUCCUUAGGGAAGAUAAUGACGGUACCCUAGGAGGAAGCGCCGGCUAACUACGUGCCAGCAGCCGCGGUAAUACGUAGGGGGCGAGAGUUAUCCGGAAUUACUGGGCGUAAAGGGUGCGUAGGCGGCCUUUUAAGUCAGAUGAGAAAGGCUACGGCUUAACCGUAGUUAGCAUUUGAAACUAAAAGGCUUGAGUGCAGGAGAGGAGAGUGGAAUUCCUAGUGUAGCGGUGAAAUGCGUAGAUAUUAGGAGGAACACCAAUGGCGAAGGCGACUCUCUGGACUGCAACUGACGCUGAGGCACGAAAGCGUGGGGAGAGAAC
rnacentral:rRNA from 1 species